AAAUAGUCGGUCUGAAGAGUGAAGACACUGCUGCACUGGAUCUGGAUGGCUAGCUGCAUGCUGGAGGCUGCCGGCUGGAACUACUUUAAAGAUCAUCAUUUUGUCAAGGAAAGACAUGGGCAGAAGUCUGCAAAUAAGUACUUCCAGACUUGGACUUGGACUCGGAGUGAAUCAGUACUUUGGAUAUAUGCUACCUCUGUGUGUGUUUUUUUUUUAUUCCACAGAAAGUUUGACAUGGAAUUGAGGGGGGGGGGGGAGUGCAAUAUAGUUUUAAUCCACACUUUUGUGAAAAAUGAGUUACAUCCAUUUCCAUCAGCUUUCUAGAUUGUUCUUCAUCUUCUGACAAUUAAAAAAAAAGGAAAUCGACUGAUUAAUAGGGAAAUGAAUAAAUAUUCUUCUCCUGAAAACAAGCAAUUAUCUGAACACAA